rnacentral:lncRNA from 1 species
GGCGAUUCACGGAACCGCCUGAGAUGCCUAACGGAUUUCGCCGAGGAGAAACGAUAACGGCUGAGGGGAGGGGGCGGAGAUUGAAGAAGCUCUGGGAAUUUCGGGUUCGGGAUUUUCUUGAGCGGUGGAGAGAGAGAGAGAGAGGAGAGAGAGAAAACAGAAAUGAGAGAGCGGCUUGAAGAGAAUCUCUGACCGCGAAAGGCACGGGGUCCU